UGACCAGAACUAACUGGAAGGUGGC
rnacentral:piRNA from 1 species